rnacentral:rRNA from 1 species
UACGUAGGGGGCAAGCGUUGUCCGGAAUUAUUGGGCGUAAAGAGCUCGUAGGCGGUCUGUCGCGUCGGCUGUGAAAACUCGGGGCUCAACCCCGAGCCUGCAGUCGAUACGGGCAGACUAGAGUGCGGUAGGGGAGACUGGAAUUCCUGGUGUAGCGGUGAAAUGCGCAGAUAUCAGGAGGAACACCGGUGGCGAAGGCGGGUCACUGGGGGUCUUCUGACGCUGAGGAACGAAAGCCAGGGGAGCGAACGGG